rnacentral:rRNA from 1 species
GGGAACUACGAGCAUUAGCUUAAAACCCAAAGGACUUGGCGGUGCUUUAGAUCCCUCUAGAGGAGCCUGUUCUAGAACCGAUAACCCCCGUUUAACCUCACCUUCUCUUGUCCUCUCCGCCUAUAUACCGCCGUCGUCAGCAUACCCUGUGAAGGAACCAUAGUAAGCAAAAUUGGCAAUGCCCAAAACGCCAGGUCGAGGUGUAGCAUAUGAGAAGGGAAGAAAUGGGCUACAUUUCCUCAUUGAGGAAAUACGAAUUGUGCCAUGCAACAGCACAUGAAGGAGGAUUUAGCAGUAAGUGGUAAGCAGAGUGUCCCACUGAACUCGGCCCUGAAGCGCGCACACACCGCCCGUCACUCUCCCCAAGCCAAUAUCAUUUUUUCUUAAAACCCUCACUCAGGCAAAGGGGAGGCAAGUCGUAACAUGGUAAGUGUACCGGAAGGUGCACUUGGAAAAAU